CUCCCCUGUUUGCGCUCUCUCUCUCUCAAAAUAAAUGUUAAAAAAAAUACAUAGAUUCUUAAUUAUGGACAACUAUGUAAAACAGGGAAAUGCAUUUGCUACUUCACAAAUUGACUCUGGACCCCUGUCCUGUAACUAAAAGGCAGACAUUCCAAAAUGUGCAUAUGAUUAUACUCCAAAAGUUCACAUGAGAGUUUCUCUUAUGCACAGUGAUUGGCUCGUGAAGUCGACAUAAAUGAGCCCAUAUAGUUUACCAGGAAUCUGGAAGUCCAAAUUGGGCAGGGUGGUGGCGUGGUUGACGAGGAACCAGGGAGGUGGGUGGGGCAGAGCAGGUGCCGCGGGAGUGUCACCAGGGAGAGCUAGCUGCCUGCCAGGGGCCCUCUCGUCCUUCCUGACAGUGCUACUUGAGUUUGCUUGGGUCAGUAACGUGCCUACCCCGGGUGAGACACUCGCUUUCCAUCCUCCUUGGUACCUGGGUGGACCAGACAGUCUAGGUCUUGCUGAUGAGAGAUGAGAGGAAACUAGAAGGGAGGAAGGAGAAACCAGAGCUGGGGCGAUCCCUUACCCAUGUUUUCGUGCACAAAUGUGGUCCCGCUACAGCUAUGAGUGGAGCUGUCCUGCCGUGCGGGACGCCCCUGACAUUAGUGAGCCCCUAAACUAACACCAGGCAGUAUCUACCUCCAGAUUCCUCGUUAGAGGAGAAAUAUAUGCGCUGACUCAGUCGCUGUUAUCAAACAUUCUCUUUCCUGCCUCUGACAGCAUCUUACCCAAUGCCAGUCCAGGAUGGAUGCUGUCUCUCCUCUUUUCUCUUUUUGUUCCUUCUUUUUCCUCUUCUCCUCAACAAGGUGUGUGUCUGUGUGUGUGUGUGUGUACGCACGCACCUGCAUGUGAGUGUCAUAUGAGCCUGCACAUGGGUGGGUGAGCGUGCACAGGCACACCAGGUUAGGUGGCGGAUGUGGGAGAAAGUGGGAAGUGCGUUGUUGCAUGCCCUUGUAGCUUACCUAUAACAACACUUUUUCUUUUUUUUUGAGAGAAGGGAAAAUACUCGCAUGGGAACCUAUUCGGAAUUGGCAGUGUCUGCCGUGUUAAUGGGGUAAAGUGGAGGGAAAUAAAAUUACCCCAUGAAUAAAACUACCCCAUGAGGAAAGUCAUGUCUACAAAAGAGAAAUGUCAUAUUGGGCCUAAACAGCUCAGCGGCCUGCCUGUUAAAAAACAGUUUGCGAUCUAGAGAUACUCUCUUUCCCAAGGAAUUUUAGAGAUAUAAGGAGCAGUAGACAGGAGACAGUUUAUUUGCCAUUCACUGCACGAGACAGGGGCAUCUCCCCACUGAGGCUGGAAGAGGCAGCACCCACAAGGAAUUGAAAUUCAGAAGAAUCAGGCUCCUUCCCAGUGAAGACGAAAGCAGGUCUCUGUGCAGGGAGCAGCCCGCCGUCUGGCCUGCAGGUUUCCAGAGUGAGCGGGCCAGAUGGCCAGUGCCUCUCCAAGGUCAUGGGGGACUGAUUAGUUCUCUGCUCCUCGUAGGCUGGCCCUUCACACAACUCAGAAGCCAUAAGACAAUUCCCCCUGGUGGCGGAGAAAGGCGCUAGAAACCACCUCCCUGCCCAGCUACCUCUUCGAGGACAUGAUUGAAAAGAUCAACGUUAAAUACCUUUCACAGAAAAAAAGUCAAUGAACACGAAUUAUUUUCUUGAAUGGGACUUCAACAUUCAUGGCUGAGGGAAUCCUCAUUUGCCACGGGACACCUCGGAUCUUAGAUCUGCAUUUUCUAGAAACGUCUUUAUGAAAAGCGGGCAAGUGCAUGCACACUUGUUUUAAAAUGUUGCAGGAAAGACGUCCCCUUUUUAUCUCAAUUUCCCAAUGUAGGAUAUUGUGAGAGAAGGGAACCGUCCCUCCAGCUCUGUUUCCAAUGCAAAUCGGCAAAGCAGCCUUGUUUCAGAGGAAAAGAACCAAGGCAGAGGGUUGACAUUUUCCCUGAAAAGUAGAAGCCAUGACCUCAUUGUGAAGUAUUUCAUCUUACAAUUUUUUUCCAUAUCCCUUUAACGCUUGUUAAAGAAACCCCACAAAACUUACACUAUGUCCUCAUAAAAUCCAUGGGUACUAAGAUCAAAUGAAUCACUUUUCACGUAAAAUCCUGUGAUUUUUAUUAUAGCAAGUGAAGAACAUAGAGAAUGAGCACCAAACAACACGUUUUUCUAAAUGCACCCAGCCUGAUUCUCUAUUUCGGAUCUCCCAAGGUAUUAGUAACCAGUUUUUAAUGUUCCGACCACUCGUUCUUUCCCCUCCCCCACUGUUUCCAGUGUUGCCAAGGAGACUCCUGACUCCACCACCAAGGUGCCCCCACAGUCCUCUUCCUUGUCCUUUCCAAAACCUGUCCAUCUUAUGCUCAGUUUUGUUAGGACUGGUGGUAGGAGUUCAAAUGUUUGUUGAUGGACUGAGUAGUCAAAAUACUAAUUGGGAUAUUAUCUUCACGACUGACCAUGCUUCCACGUGUGAUUCAUACCAAAUAAUACACAUGCAUUUUCACAAGGGCCUUUAAUGCUUGAUGUCACAAAGGCACGCACGGAACGUCAAAUGUGGGCAGGAACAGAGUGAGUCCUAGUUAUCGGUAGAACCUACGGUGACCCUGAGAGCAUGACGUGGACACGGGCUCAUAUACUGGUUGAGGGGUGGCCUUGUAAGGCAGAGGCCUGUGGAGACCACACGAGGCUGCUGACCUGCCACCAGCCUGGCGGGAUAUCCGGAAUAUUACUUUGAAGGGGACGACGUCCUCUGUUUCUGGAAGGGUGAGGUCUCAGGCUAGCCCUGCAAUGAGAGACUGAGAGAAGAGCUGAAGAUAGGCUGUGUGGGGAUUUUUCAGACGCACCCAUUUGCUCCCAACCUGCAGUCAAAACGCGGGAAGAACAUGGCACCACCUCAGCUCACAGUGUGCCUGGUUCCAAGCAGCACUGCUGAUCGCGCUAAGCGGGGAACGUUCUGAUUCUAAUAAAACCUCUUUUGGCUUC